UGACUUCUCAGCUUCCUUUUCCGGUUGCCAUCCUUGCCAUCCGCUGUCAUGCCUCUCCACCGCCACGCUUCCCCAUCAUUAUGGAGAUGGACUUGUCCUGGAACCAUAAGCCAAAUAAAGCCUUCCUUCUCCAAGUCUGCUUGAACCAAUAUUGCAACUGAAAUUUGUCGAAGGCCGAGGCAUUUGCUGAAACAGGAAAUGGAGAACAUUACAGCAGAGUGGAGCCCUUUUGGUAAUGAUGCAUGGGGCUGAAAUGAUGUGAAGGGGAAACCAUUUAACCAUGUAAAUUGAACAAAGGAGCUUAAUUUGAAUCAGUUUUCAGGUCGGAGCUGUUGUGUUUGUAAAGAAAAGGAAGCAGAGAACAGGCUGGCACUGGUAUCAUUAUUUCCCCCUUCCUGAAUAUUUCCUACCAAGCAACUGCUUUGGAAAUAACAAAAUGAUUUCACUAUGGAAAAAAUGCCGAGAAAAGAAUCCGGGGCUGUCUGAUUGGCUAAUAAUGAACAUAAAGGACGUCGUGCUUGUUGAAUGGCAGAUUGAAAUCCGGCUAGUUGGUGAGAACGUCUGUCUAGUUGGUGAGAACGUCUGUCCAUUUUUACUGAACCUGCUGACUUCCCAGAGUUCCAUUGGUGGCUUUCUGGAUUGCCUUAGGUCUUGCUUCAGGACAACGGAAUGGGAGCAAUAAAACAAAAAGAAGUUAUAUUUACAAUCUCAGACUGAUAAAAAUUUAUAGCUAAGAAGACCCACAGAGAUUAACUGGGCCUGCUUACCCUAUUCCACCGUUUGCAUUGAGGAGAGACAGAAAUCAGAGGUCAAUGGACUUUCCCAGGAUGCAAUAGUUCGGACAACAGGGAAGAGUCCUGGAUCCCCUGGGACUGGAGUUACAGACAGCUGGAAGCUACCACAGGGGUGCUGGAAACCUAACCAAGACCCUCUGCAAGAGCAGUAAGUGCUCUCAGUAGCUGAGCUGGCUCUCCAAGCUCACCUUGAUGGACUUAGUCCAGGGGAGUUGACCUUCCCUUCACUUGUGGCAGUGUAGUUUGUACAUGAUCACAGUAGUCUCAGUCUCCAGUCAACAGGACAGAAACUGCCAAACUGGAAGUUUUUCCAGUAUUGGAAAUACAACUGUGAGACCCAGUGCCUGGAAUUCCUGGCACAAGAACACUUUCCCCAGAUUGCUUUAUAAUUAUUUCUUCAAGUGUCUGCCUCCCGACUAACGUGACAUGUGGAGCGAGUCACCGGUCAGAGUCUUCCUUGUCUCCAAAAGCGCUUGGCAUGAUGCCUGAUAGCAAAUAUUUAUCAAGAACCAUCUGGGUGCCAAAGAACUACUCCAGGGACCGCAGAAACUGCAAGGGAAACACUCCUGCCCUCGCUGAGCCAUGGUUUCUUAUAUUUAUUUCCUACAAUUGUUGCAGAAUAUUGGAGGGGAAGUACAGAAUCAACUCAAGACCCCCAAAUAAGUCAUGAAAAUGGCAGAUACCCUUGCGUGGCCAUUCGAUGCCUACAUUUGGACACUGUGUAAGGACUAAGUCUUUUUGUUCUAAUGAAGAUGUUUCAUGAGUUUUGCCUCUGCAUUAAGUGGAUGAUGCUACUGAAGAGACAAACCCUGGAGGCAUGGAGCUGCUUCUUCCUGAACCUAGGAAUGCUCAUCCUGCUUUAAAAGCCUUCAGGUGUCAGAGGCAUGUGGAUUUCGAGUGCCGUACAACGCCGAUUGCCCAUCCUCCGCACACAUUCACCUUCUGCUAAUACUUGUUCAAGGGUCUAAGUGCCUUUGACCACAGAAAGAAGUGGUGAAACAGUGGUGGAAAAGGAAAACAAAAAAACAAAAAACAAAAAAUCCAAAAACCCCAAGGAAGGACUCCUGACAAAUGGUGCCUUUCAGGACGUCAGCCCAGUGAAAAAUGAGAUCUGCCGGUUUCAAACUCAGGCUAGUGGCGGAAGAAGGACAGAUGUCAGGAGGAAAGAAACAUCUCCUACAUGAAGUGGGAAGAAAGUGAGGCUCACCCCUGGCUGCAUCCAGGGAAUGCUGAAAGAAGAAGAAAAAGACCCAAGGCCACCCAGAGGAGAGUGAACAGCGGACCUCAAAUGAAGUCUGUGUUUUUGCCCUCAGCAUUCGGUGUUCCCAGGGC
rnacentral:lncRNA from 1 species